UAGCGGCGUGCUUAACACAUGCAAGUCGAACGAUGAUGGGAGCUUGCUCUGGAUUAGUGGCGAACGGGUGAGUAACACGUGAGUAACCUGCCCUUAACUCUGGGAUAAGCCUGGGAAACUGGGUCUAAUACCGGAUAUGACUCCUCAUCGCAUGGUGGGGGGUGGAAAGCUUUAUUGUGGUUUUGGAUGGACUCGCGGCCUAUCAGCUUGUUGGUGAGGUAAUGGCUUACCAAGGCGACGACGGGUAGCCGGCCUGAGAGGGUGACCGGCCACACUGGGACUGAGACACGGCCCAGACUCNUACGGGAGGCAGCAGUGGGGAAUAUUGCACAAUGGGCGCAAGCCUGAUGCAGCGACGCCGNGUGAGGGAUGACGGCNUUCGGGUUGUAAACCUCUUUCAGUAGGGAAGAAGCGAAAGUGACGGUACCUGCAGAAGAAGCGCCGGCUAACUACGUGCCAGCAGCCGCGGUAAUACGUAGGGGCCAAGCGUUAUCCGGAAUUAUUGGGCGUAAAGAGCUCGUAGGCGGUUUGUCGCGUCUGCCGUGAAAGUCCGGGGCUCAACUCCGGAUCUGCGGUGGGUACGGGCAGANUAGAGUGAUGUAGGGGAGAC
rnacentral:rRNA from 1 species